rnacentral:rRNA from 1 species
AUACGGAGGGUGCAAGCGUUACUCGGAAUCACUGGGCGUAAAGCGCGCGCAGGCGGUCUUUUAAGUUGGAUGUGAAAGCCUACGGCUCAACCGUAGAACUGCAUCCAAAACUAUUAGACUAGAGUGUGGGAGAGGAAGAUGGAAUUAGUUGUGUAGGGGUAAAAUCCGUAGAGAUAACUAGGAAUACCGAAAGCGAAGGCAAUCUUCUGGAACACUACUGACGCUGAGGCGCGAAAGCGUGGGGAGCAAACAGGAUUAGAAACCCCGGUAGUCC